CCUACUACCGGCCAAGCCG
rnacentral:snRNA from 1 species